AGCCCGGAGAUAGCUGGUUCUCCUCGAAAACUAUUUAGGUAGUGCCUCAAGUAUCACCAUCGGGGGUAGAGCACUGUUAUGGCUAGGGGGUCAUUGCGACUUACCAAACCAUUGCAAACUCCGAAUACCGAUGAGUGCGAGCUUGGGAGACAGACGUCGGGUGCUAACGUCCGGCGUCAAGAGGGAAACAACCCAGACCGCCAGCUAAGGCCCCAAAUUCCUAGUUAAGUGGGAAACGAUGUGGGAAGGCACAGACAGCUAGGAGGUUGGCUUAGAAGCAGCCACCCUUUAAAGAAAGCGUAAUAGCUCACUGAUCGAGUCGUCCUGCGCGGAAGAUGUAACGGGGCUAAGCCAGUCACCGAAGCUGCGGAUAUCUUUCUGAUGCUUGCAUCAUGAUCGAUAUGGUAGGAGAGCGUUCUGUAAGCCUGCGAAGGUGUCUUGUAAAGGAUGCUGGAGGUAUCAGAAGUGCGAAUGCUGACAUGAGUAGCGAUAAUGCGGGUGAAAAGCCCGCACGCCGUAAGCCCAAGGUUUCCUGUUCAACGUUCAUCGGAGCAGGGUGAGUCGGCCCCUAAGGCGAGGCAGAGAUGCGUAGCUGAUGGGAAGCAGGUUAAUAUUCCUGCACCGUCGUAUGAUGCGAUGGGGGGACGGAUCGCGGAAGGUUGUCUGACUGUUGGAAUAGUCAGUUUUUGACUCAUAGAAGGUGCUUAGGCAAAUCCGGGCACGUAAUUCAAGGGGUCGAGACGAGCGGGUUUAUCUCGCGAAGCAAUCGGAAGUGGUUCCAAGAAAAGCCUCUAAGCUUCAGUCAUACGAGACCGUACCGCAAACCGACACAGGUGGGCGAGAUGAG
rnacentral:rRNA from 14 species